UACGAAGGGGGCGAGCGUUGUUCGGAUUUACUGGGCGUAAAGGGCGCGCAGGCGGCGCAUUUUGUCAGGCGUGAAAGCCCCGGGCUUAACCUGGGAACUGCGUUUGAUACGGAUGGGCUAGAGUUCGGGAGAGGAGAGUGGAAUUCCCAGUGUAGAGGUGAAAUUCGUAGAUAUUAGGAAGAACACCGGUGGCGAAGGCGGCCCACUGGAUCGGUACUGACGCUGAGGUGCGAAAGCGUGGGGAGCAAACAGG
rnacentral:rRNA from 1 species